rnacentral:rRNA from 1 species
ACGAACGCUGGCGGCGUGCUUAACACAUGCAAGUCGAACGGAAAGGCCCCCACUUUUUUGGUGGGGGUGCUCGAGUGGCGAACGGGUGAGUAACACGUGGGUGAUCUGCCCUGUACUUCGGGAUAAGCUUGGGAAACUGGGUCUAAUACUGGAUAGGACCAUGGCUUAGUGUCUCAUGGUGGAAAACUUAUUGUUUUGGUGCAGGAUGAGCUCGCGGCCUAUCAGCUUGUUGGUGGGGUAAUGGCCUACCAAGGCGUUGACGGGUAGCCGGCCUGAGGGGGUGGACGGCCACAUUGGGACUGGGAUACGGCCCAGACUCCUACGGGAGGCAGCAGUGGGGGAUAGUGCAAGAUGGGAACAAGCCUGAUGCGGCGGCGGCGCGUGGGAGAUGACGGCCGUCGGGUUGUAAGCUCCUUUCGUUGGAGACGAAGCCGCACCUUUAUUGGGUGUGAUUACGGUACCUUUGUAAAGAAGCACCGGCUAACUACGUG